rnacentral:rRNA from 1 species
UGGCGGCGUGCCUAAUACAUGCAAGUCGUACGCUUCUUUUUCCACCGGAGCUUGCUCCACCGGAAAAAGAAGAGUGGCGAACGGGUGAGUAACACGUGGGUAACCUGCCCAUCAGAAGGGGAUAACACUUGGAAACAGGUGCUAAUACCGUAUAACAAUCGAAACCGCAUGGUUUUGAUUUGAAAGGCGCUUUCGGGUGUCGCUGAUGGAUGGACCCGCGGUGCAUUAGCUAGUUGGUGAGGUAACGGCUCACCAAGGCUACGAUGCAUAGCCGACCUGAGAGGGUGAUCGGCCACAUUGGGACUGAGACACGGCCCAAACUCCUACGGGAGGCAGCAGUAGGGAAUCUUCGGCAAUGGACGAAAGUCUGACCGAGCAAUGCCGCGUGAGUGAAGAAGGUUUUCGGAUCGUAAAACUCUGUUGUUAGAGAAGAACAAGGAUGAGAGUAACUGUUCAUCCCUUGACGGUAUCUAACCAGAAAGCCACGGCUAACUACGUGCCAGCAGCCGCGGUAAUACGUAGGUGGCAAGCGUUGUCCGGAUUUAUUGGGCGUAAAGCGAGCGCAGGCGGUUUCUUAAGUCUGAUGUGAAAGCCCCCGGCUCAACCGGGGAGGGUCAUUGGAAACUGGGAGACUUGAGUGCAGAAGAGGAGAGUGGAAUUCCAUGU